rnacentral:lncRNA from 1 species
AUGGAUUAUGCUUGGGUGCCACACUUUAUCCAGAAAUAAUUAAUACUCACAUGAUAACAGACGAAAGUUUACAAAGUAAAAGCAUGCAAGCCUACAAAUUAGACUUCCUCCCUAUCCUGGAGAAUGCUCAUUAUCCAUGGGGAAUCCCUUUGUCUUUCUGAGUUGUGCUGGGAAGAAAUACAUUUUUUUCCAUAAAUAUUUCUGCUGGAUUUAACCUUACCCUAAAUGAAUAUUUCAUGAAGGAAAAAAUAAACGAAAUAUUUGAAGGAGGAGGUAGGGUAGGGAAAGGGAAUGCUAUUUAGAAAAAGAUAUUCUCUGUUACUUCUUACUCUUCAAACAGAAAAAUAGUAGUCUUGGACUGAUGCUUCUUUUUUUUUUUUUUAAUUUUAAAAUAGAGUAACAAUGAUAAUGUGCUUAAGGAGGCAAAUGCAAAAGGAGAAAUUAUUCAAGGGAUUAGUAUCAGCCUGGGGCAGGAAAAGGAGGGGGAAGGAAAUGGCAUAUGCAGUUUAGCAAAUUCAGCCAACAUCCAUUCAUUGAAUUUUUACUGUGUUUAGAGCACUGUGCAAGGCAUUAAUAACAGCCAGCAUUUAUAUAGAGCUUUAAGGUUUGCAAAGAACUUUAUGAAUAAGAUCUCUUUUGAUCUUCAUAUUAAUCCUGUGAGUGCAUCUGAGAGUCACAAACCAUCACAGAAAUUCAAUCGUGAGAGCAAAACUGUGACUGUAUCUCUGCAAGUGCGAAGAUUGGACUGCAGAAUGUUGAAAAUGAUAAGAGCCCUGGCCUUGGGAUCAGAAGACCUGGGUUUGAGCUCUACGCCUUCCAUUUUUGGUGCAAAGCUCUGCCACUAACGUUCUAUAUGACCUUCUGCAAAUGAAUUCACCUCUCUUAGCCCUGGUUACCUCUUCUGUAAAACAAAGACAAGAUCAUCUCUGAGACCCUUCCAUUUCCAGUAUUCUAUUCUUAAAGGUCCCAUUCACUCUCUUUUUCUAUUUUCUGUUCUAUGUUCUGGGGUCCCUUUUAUCUCUAGAAUUCUAUAUUUUAAGGACUGAUAGAAAUAUCACCAUUCCAUGUUCUCUAUUUAAAAAUUCCAUGAUUCCAUGACGUACUAGCUAUAUAAUUUUGGGCUUAGGUUUGUGUAUCUGCAAAAUGAGAUUAAUUCGGAGGGUUGUUAUAAAGAAAAGAUGAUAAAACUAUGGGAGAGUACUUUGAAACCAUUAAAUAUUUUUUAUUAUUGUUCAGUCACAUCUGGCUUUUUGGGAUUUCUUAAAUAUUAUAUGUAUGUUAAUAUCAUUAAGAAAAAAAUUUUGACAAUGAUCCCCAAAAUGCUCUGACCCGGACAAAAUACAAAAGCUAGGGAAACGAAUAAAGAAAAUGGGGAAAAAACA